rnacentral:lncRNA from 1 species
UUUUCAGGACGACUCCGCCGCACCACCCGCUUCGCCUCCGACGUCGAUCUCCGACAUGCCCAAGGGUCGCCGUAGACGAGAAGCCGGCGCAUCCGCCUCCGGUGAUGAGAGGAGGAAGAAGCGGAAAUCGAUCGCCAAUCUGCUGACCUCCAUCGCGGCGAUCGACGCCCAGGAUGAGUCCGAGCGGCGCGAGUCCGACGAAGACUCUCGCCGCGAGCUCUCACUUCUCGAGGAGAACCACCACCGGAAGGCUGAGGUCAUGCUCGACUACUACUCCCGCCUCGAGGACAACUUCUCCGCCCUCGACGAUGACGCUGACACCCUCCGCUCCAAGCGCGUCCGAGUAGCCGCCUCUGCGGUCGCCGCUGCAGCGGCGGCGGCCUCCGCUUCCGUCGAGAACGACGCUGGCCCUGCCACUUCCGCCGCCGGAAGCGGCCACCAGCAGAGGCGGCUUUGGGUGAAGGACCGGUCGCGAGCGUGGUGGGACCAAUGCAACAGCCCGGAUUUCCCCGAGGCGGAGUUCCGACGAGCGUUUCGGAUGGGCCGCGCCACGUUCGAUUUGAUCUGCGAUGAACUUGGGUCGGCAGUAGCGAAGGAGGACACGAUGCUCCGUGCCGCUAUCCCCGUCCGCCAGCG